GACGAACGCUUUCUUCUUCCUUAACACCUGCAAGUCGAACGGAAAGGCCCUGCUUUUGUGGGGUGCUCGAGUGGCGAACGGGUGAGUAACACGUGAGUAACCUGCCCUGGACUUUGGGAUAACUUCAGGAAACUGGGGCUAAUACCGGAUAGGAGCUCCUGCUGCAUGGUGGGGGUUGGAAAGUUUCGGCGGUUGGGGAUGGACUCGCGGCUUAUCAGCUUGUUGGUGGGGUAGUGGCUUACCAAGGCUUUGACGGGUAGCCGGCCUGAGAGGGUGACCGGCCACAUUGGGACUGAGAUACGGCCCAGACUCCUACGGGAGGCAGCAGUGGGGAAUAUUGCACAAUGGGCGGAAGCCUGAUGCAGCAACGCCGCGUGCGGGAUGACGGCCUUCGGGUUGUAAACCACUUUCGCCUGUGACGAAGCGUGAGUGACGGUAAUGGGUAAAGAAGCACCGGCUAACUACGUG
rnacentral:rRNA from 1 species